GAUGAACGCUGGCGGCGUGCCUAAUACAUGCAAGUCGAGCGAACAGACGAGGAGCUUGCUCCUCUGACGUUAGCGGCGGACGGGUGAGUAACACGUGGAUAACCUACCUAUAAGACUGGGAUAACUUCGGGAAGCCGGAGCUAAUACCGGAUAAUAUAUUGAACCGCAUGGUUCAAUAGUGAAAGACGGUUUUGCUGUCACUUAUAGAUGGAUCCGCGCCGCAUUAGCUAGUUGGUAAGGUAACGGCUUACCAAGGCAACGAUGCGUAGCCGACCUGAGAGGGUGAUCGGCACCACAGGAACUGAGACACGGUCCAGACUCCGACGGGAGGCAGCAGUAGGGAAUCUUCCGCAAUGGGCGAAAGCCUGACGGAGCAACGCCGCGGGAGUGAUGAAGGUCUUCGGAUCGUAAAACGCUGUUAUUAGGGAAGAACAAAUGUGUAAGUAACUAUGCACGUCUUGACGGUACCGAAGCAGAAAGCCACGGCUAACUACGU
rnacentral:rRNA from 1 species